rnacentral:rRNA from 1 species
UACGUAGGGUGCAAGCGUUGUCCGGAAUUAUUGGGCGUAAAGAGCUCGUAGGCGGUCUGUCGCGUCGGCUGUGAAAUCCCGAGGCUCAACCUCGGGUCUGCAGUCGAUACGGGCAAACUUGAGUGUUGCAGGGGAGACUGGAAUUCUUGGUGUAGCGGUGAAAUGCGCAGAUAUCAGGAGGAACACCGGUGGCGAAGGCGGGUCUCUGGGCAACAACUGACGCUGAGGAGCGAAAGCGUGGGGAGCAAACAGG